UAAUACGUAGGGGGCAAGCGUUGUCCGGAAUCAUUGGGCGUAAAGAGCGUGUAGGCGGUCCGGUAAGUCGGCUGUGAAAGUCCAGGGCUCAACCCUGGGAUGCCGGUCGAUACUGCCGGACUAGAGUCCGGAAGAGGCGAGUGGAAUUCCCGGUGUAGCGGUGAAAUGCGCAGAUAUCGGGAGGAACACCAACGGCGAAGGCAGCUCGCUGGGACGGUACUGACGCUGAGACGCGAAAGCGUGGGGAGCAAACAGGAUUAGAUACCCGUGUAGUCCACGCCCUAAACGAUGUCAACUGGUUGUCGGGGAAGUAAUUCCUUGGUAACGAAGCUAACGCGUGAAGUUGACCGCCUGGGGAGUACGGCCGCAAGGUUA
rnacentral:rRNA from 1 species